ensembl:misc_RNA Metazoa_SRP Metazoan signal recognition particle RNA
GCUGGGCGUGGUGGCACACGCCUGUAAUCCCAGCUACUUGGGAGGCUGAGGCAGGAGAAUCGCUUGAACCCGGGAGGCGGAGGUUGCAGUGAGCCGAGAUUAUGCCACUGCACUCUAGCCUGGGUGACAGAGCGAGACUCUGUCUCAA